UCUUUGGUUCAAAUUUCCAUUAGGGUUACGAAACUCUCCCUCUUUCAAUUUCUUCUUCUUUUGGUGGUUGAACUCCCUCUUUCAAUUUCUUCUUCUUUUGGUCCCAUGGUUCACCAGUGCACCGUUCCCUCUUGCAGUUUGUUGUUGUAUUGGUUUCCUGUGCCAUGGUUCCUUGUUCUUCGUCGUCGUCGUCGGCCGGUGUUUGCUCGGUGGACGCCCUCCAUCUCUUUUCACGGUGGUUAGGUGAUAAAGGUAAUAUAUUUUUUAUUCAAUGGAUUAUGAAGUGAAACAUUGUUGUUGUGUGAUUUUGAUGAUGUUGUGUGAUUUUGAUGUUGUUGUAGAGCCUAUUUUGAUUCAAUUUUAGUUUGAGUUUCGUGUUGAAGGAAGUUUGAAGCUUUUCUUCCUUGAAUGUUGAAUUGUUGGUAUUGUUGUUAUUACUAGACACAUUGAUAUAAAAUUGAUAAAUUUUUUUCACAGUGAUGAAGUUAGAGUAUAUAAAUUGUAUGGUCUAAUCGUUGAACAAACAAGUUUGGUAAUUGUUGGUUUAGGGUUUAGUAGGAAUAUGUGGUUGGGGUGGGCAUGAAGUGGGCAGAAAGUGUGUUAGAUAAAAUUUUUAGAGUCCAUCAGCUUAUUGAGUGUGAUUGUAUAAGUUGGGAGACCAUGAACAUUUAGCAUGUGCUCCAUUUCCUGCAUCUAUUGCAUGUUGAGCUUUGAGGUUGUUGUUAGUAGAGGAUAAUUGUUUGAAACACUUUGCAGGCAAGGCCAAUGGCCAAUGUAAGAAUAUAAUUCCAAAAGCCCAAAUUAAAACAGCUUCGUACAACUAGAUUAAUUGAAAAUAGAACACGAUAGGGUAACCUCAUCAUAAAAACUACACGCAAAUUACUUAUUACCCCAACUAUGUGUUGUGCGCAGAUAUGUAUUAGGUCUUUCAUAUUGUUGACAACCUCCGAAAUUUGUCAAGCAUUGUAGCAUGUAAUAUAUUGGAUGAGAAAAUACAAAGCAUAACAAAUCAAAGGUUUUCUUUAUAGUACUCAACAUUUGACAUACACUUUCAGGUAGAAUUUAAUACCAUACCUGCAAACAUCUCACAUAUGUUUCAGAAAAACCCAAGUCAUUAAGCGAUUGCAACUCCAAAAUCUGUGGAAGUUGGCGCCAUGCUGUCAAUACCCUGAUAAAAAAUAAACAUUACAUUAAACAACUCAAGUGUCAUUGUAAUUGUUUGUUACCUAGAUGUGACAUAGACUGUUCUAAGCAGCAGAUACUUUUUAACCAAUCAUUGUUAUAAAAUGCUCAAAACAGAGGGUGGUUGACAAAAGCGAAUGAGAAUCUGAAUUUGUAAUCUAUAUUUAAGAAAUUACCAUGAGAUGCUCUUAAUUUUGUAUAGCAUGAUUGUAAAAAUAUGAAUGUGUGACUUUGCAUUUUUGUAUGUAUAAAACAUGUUAUUUCUGUGAAGCAGGGCAGCAGAAUGCAACCAAACAUGCCCAUGGGGUAAAAUGUCAUAUUACAAUAAGAUCUUUUUGU
rnacentral:lncRNA from 1 species